CUACGGGAUGCUCCAGUGGGGAAUAUUGGACAAUGGGGGCAACCCUGAUCCAGCCAUGCCGCGUGAAUGAAGAAGGCCUUCGGGUUGUAAAGUUCUUUUAAUAGUGAAGAUAAUGACGGUAACUAUAGAAAAAGCACCGGCUAACUCCGUGCCAGCAGCCGCGGUAAUACGGAGGGUGCGAGCGUUGUUCGGAUUUACUGGGCGUAAAGGGUGCGUAGGCGGAUAUAAAGGUCAGGUGUGAAAUCCCGAGGCUCAACCUCGGAACUGCAUUUGAAACCGUAAAUCUAGAGUGUGACAGAGGAUGAUGGAAUUUCUAGUGUAGCAGUGAAAUGCGUAGAUAUUAGAAGGAACACCAGAGGCGAAGGCGAUCAUCUGGGUCAUUACUGACGCUGAGGCACGAAAGUGUGGGUAGCAAACAGGAUUAGAUACCCUUGUAGUC
rnacentral:rRNA from 1 species